rnacentral:tRNA from 1 species
GGGGAUUUAGCUCAGUGGUAGAGCGCUUGCCUAGCAAAACACAAGGCCCUGGGUUCAGUCCCCA